GCGUAGGCCGCAGUGCUCGGAAACUGGGCGGGGGAGGGGACAGGACCGAGCUCAGCGGGCGCCGUUGCUGGUAGUCUCUGUAGAGUUGGAGAAAAGCCGCGGCAGAGAGCAGCAGCAUGGCGCUGAGCAGUGCAUUCCCUCACCAGAAUUUUGGAACUUUCAAUACGAUGCCAACACAAGGGACAUCUGGAUAUGGAUAUAUACCCCCUCCGCCUUAUCCAGUUCCUGAUCAUGGAGGUCAGCCAGUGCAGAGGAACUGGAA